rnacentral:rRNA from 1 species
AGAGUGAACGCUGGCGGUAGGCCUAACACAUGCAAGUCGAACGGCAGCACGGUAAGAGCUUGCUCUUAUGGGUGGCGAGUGGCGGACGGGUGAGGAAUACAUCGGAAUCUACCUUUUGGUGGGGGAUAACGUAGGGAAACUUACGCUAAUACCGCAUACGCCCUUCGGGGGAAAGCCGGGGACCAGCAAUGGCCUGGCGCUGAUAGAUGAGCCGAUGUCGGAUUAGCUAGUUGGUGAGGUAAUGGCUCACCAAGGCGACGAUCCGUAGCUGGUCUGAGAGGAGGAUCAGCCACACUGGAACUGAGACACGGUCCAGACUCCUACGGGAGCAGCA